rnacentral:rRNA from 1 species
GGGACCAUUUCUGCUCUCGAAGUACAUGAGUUGUAUUGACUAUGCCUAGAGGUNCCGCGGUGCGNGUUUANGCCUAACACAUCAAGGCUGAACGGCAGCACAGGAAGAGCUGUCUCCUCAGUGAGAAGUGACGAGAAUGUCGGUACGGAGAUUUAGAGAAAAUACAUCGAGNAAAUCAUACAUCNAUGAACUCGUGGAGNGNGAAAUAAACGAAUAAGGGAGAAAAACCAUUACAACNUAACUACCGAAACUACGACCACCUAAAGAGUGNAUUCAACAAGACCAGGGGGGAAACCACUCCGAAGAG